AUGUGUCAAUGUAAAAAUAUGUAAAUCAUUGCAUAAGCUAUAAAAUAAGAAAUUACCAUCCAAAAAUGUAAUUAUGGCAUUUUAUAAAUGGCAUUUGUGGGGAAAAUAGGUGAAAACAAGAUGUAGUGUGAUACGGCAUUUAUUUUGGCAUCUUAGGAAUAAUAUGUGAUGUAGUAGUAGACUAAAGAACUGACACCUUGUUUUGUUCUAUUUUGAUAUAUUUUUUUCCCAAUAAAAAGGGUCAUAAUAGACCCUUAAUUUGAAUGAAUUUUAAAUGAAAUCAACAAAAGCAGUAAAUUUUACAAGCUUGAUACUUAACUAUCUUUAUAUGUAAUUUUUGCAACUAAUACAAUAAAAUUUUAUCGAACCAAUAAAAAUGGCGUUAAUGUUUCAUCAUAUUUAAUUCUGUGUACCAAACAGUAUAUAAAUAUGGUUUAUUUGAGUUAGCUAUUUUAUAUUUAGUGUAUAUUGUCUGUGUUUUAAUCUCCAAUGAAAGCAAUUAAAUGAAGAGGCAACAAACUAGCUUUGGUAUUAAUAAUUGUUAAGGACUACCUGCAUACCACGGCUUUGAUUGAUUAUUGAAAGAUACAAACUUACCGUGAAUUCAGCAACAAAAUUUAAAUAUUACUGUCAUACAUACACAAGUAAAUUCCAAUACAUAAGUAAAUUCCUUGAAUGUAUUAGUGUUUACCUAUAAAUAAAUUUGUCUACAUGUAUCGUCAUCAUUAUAAUCCAUUAAUAUGAUACUGCUUGGUACAGGUUUCUUUAUAUAUGAGGAGGGAAACAUAUUACCAAGCCGUUAUACAUGGUCAGUUUCUUUAAUUUAUAGAGUAUGAUGAUUUUUAGGCACUGGAAUUCAUGCUUUCGACUACCUAAAUAAAAAGCAAUAUUUUGUACUAAAUUUUAAGACUAAUAAAAAUACAUUUUUAGACAAAAUAAAUAUCUAAAAAUCUACUUUAAAAUAGGUAUAUUAUAUUUAUAUAACGCUAUUGAAUAACAAAAUGGAUUACUAGCUAUUACUGUUUAUUAAAUAUUCAACAGCCGUGAUCCAAUUUUAACAGGCUUUACUCGACAUCUGUGCGAAUACCCUUAAGUGCACGAAGCCUGUAUUGGAUUAGUAAUAGCGAGUCUCACGUUAGUAAAGAUUGGUGUCGUGAUGCAAACACACGGGAACUUGACAGCAAGUUAUCUUUGGCAACCAGGCGAGUUUGCUCGUCGGAUGUUAGGAGAGCGUCCUUCGCCCGUACCGCCCACGAGAGACCUGUGGCCUCCACCUCAGCAGCCGCUUAGUAUUAGUACUCUGCAUAUCACGUAUUUGCAAGAUGAACCUAUCCCUAGGCGAGCAGCUACGCUGCCUCCACAAACAUACGUCCCUUUAUCGAUGCCAGACGAACCCGAACACAGUAGGCCUCGAUUAUGCACUGUCGGAACAAAUACAGACCCCCCUGAGACAAUACUCAAUAAGUUGAAGCGGCUCACACGUCGUCAGGGUGACGUUCCCGUGGGUCAGCCGCCUCCGGGUCGACUCACAGCAGUUCCGAGGGAGACUGCAAUAGACGGAAAAGAAGAAAAUGCCGCAUUGCGUGCUCUCAACGAAAUCAAGAAAGCUAUUUCGGGAGCGAAAUAUCGCAUUACACCGGGUGUCGAGACUGUGGAGAGUCCAAAGAUAGUUUACGAUAUGUCCAAACCAGGAGAUAGAAUGACUACUACUUUUGGGGCGCGGGAGUCUCACAAAUGGUGCUCCAUUCCUUCGAAGGCGAGCUGUUCGCGGCGUCUUCGGGCUAUGGGCGGCUGGUGCAGGCAACAUCCCCGUCGUCCGCCGCGACGCCAAUCGCAACCACCAUCUCUGCAGAUCACUCAGGUGUGACUGCCAAAAGAGUAGAGGACUUUAAUUGGUCGAUGUAACUAGAAUUACCGCUAUAUUGCUUUGUUCAAUAAAAACAAAUAAAAAAGUACAUAAAAGUGACAGUGUGGAACGCUAAGCAAUUUCGUGUUUGUGUUGUGUAGUACGAUCGAAGUUUAAGUAGCGUUUGGCUAUUAAAUGUGUCUCUGUAAUCUGUGUUUUGUUGGCGUGAGGGAGGGCGGCAGAUGCGAGGCACCCGAGGUUCGGAGGGCGGGCGGCAGUCCCGCGUCAGGCGCCGUAUCGCCCGGUCCGACCGCCCAGCUAACUAGGCCCGCCCGCCCUUUGCGUGUAUCCCUCCUAUCACUACCUUCUCAGACCCGAUUAUCCUGUAUAUUCCUCUUGUAAUUAUUGCAGAAAUUUGCAAGAAAGCUUUCUUUCAAUUUUUUCUUACUGAUAAUGUGUUAAUGAAGUACAAUAAUUGUUAAGGACCUAAUCGAAACAGCAACCCCAUUAACGUUCCAUUGAGUCUUCUAGUGAUCAGACUAAAUCGUUUGAGUGAAUUAGAGAUAUAUAUAUCUGUACUGUCGUUAAUAGAACGUGUGAUGUGUUGAGUGGGUGUGGG
rnacentral:misc_RNA from 1 species